rnacentral:rRNA from 1 species
AACGAACGCUGGCGGCAUGCCUAACACAUGCAAGUCGAACGAGACCUUCGGGUCUAGUGGCGCACGGGUGCGUAACGCGUGGGAACCUGCCCUUAGGUUCGGAAUAACUCCCCGAAAGGGGUGCUAAUACCGGAUAAUGUCUUCGGACCAAAGAUUUAUCGCCUUUGGAUGGGCCCGCGUUGGAUUAGCUAGUUGGUAGAGUAAAAGCCUACCAAGGCGACGAUCCAUAGCUGGUCUGAGAGGAUGAUCAGCCACACUGGGACUGAGACACGGCCCAGACUCCUACGGGAGGCAGCAGUGGGGAAUAUUGGACAGUGGGCGAAAGCCUGAUCCAGCAAUGCCGCGUGAGUGAUGAAGGCCUUAGGGUUGUAAAGCUCUUUUACCCGGGAUGAUAAUGACAGUACCGGGAGAAUAAGCUCCGGCUAACUCCGUG